rnacentral:lncRNA from 1 species
AUAGGAUGGCCAUGCGAAUUCAUGGCCAUUGAUGGAGGCAUUGGUGGACGAUUUACCAUGAGAUUUUGCUGACCUAGCAUCUGUGGCAUGGGAGGAGGUGGGGGCCGAACCUGAGGAAUCAUGUUAACCAUAGGAGGUCGAGGUGGAGGCGGAGCAGCAACCCCAGCACCGGUGGAGGUGGAAUACUGGACGGUAUUAGGAGGCCUAGGAAUAUUCAGCGCAAGCCCAGGAGGUGGAGGUAGUGGCCUAACAGAUGGAAAACCAGGUCUGGGAGGUGGAGGAGCCUGCGGACCAGGAAGGUUUCUUUCAUCAUUUGCAGC